AACGAACGCUGGCGGCAGGCUUAACACAUGCAAGUCGAACGAGUGUAGCAAUACACUAGUGGCGCACGGGUGCGUAACGCGUGGGAACCUUCCUCGUAGUUCGGAAUAACUCAGGGAAACUUGGGCUAAUACCGGAUGCCUCCCUCGGGAGAAAGAUUUAUCGCUACGAGAUGGGCCCGCGUCAGAUUAGGUAGUUGGUAGGGUAACGGCCUACCAAGCCGACGAUCUGUAGCUGGCUGAGAGGAUGAUCAGCCACACUGGGACUGAGACACGGCCCAGACUCCUACGGGAGGCAGCAGUGGGGAAUAUUGGACAAUGGGGGCAACCCUGAUCCAGCCAUGCCGCGUGAGUGAAGAAGGCCUUC
rnacentral:rRNA from 1 species